rnacentral:rRNA from 1 species
GCGUGCCUAACACAUGCAAGUCGAGCGAAGCGGUUUUAAGGAAGUUUUCGGAUGGAAUUAAAACUGACUGAGCGGCGGACGGGUGAGUAACGCGUGGGUAACCUGCCUCAUACGGGGGGAUAACAGUUAGAAAUGGCUGCUAAUACCGCAUAAGCACACAGCUUCGCAUGGAGCAGUGUGAAAAACUCCGGUGGUAUGAGAUGGACCCGCGUCUGAUUAGCUAGUUGGUAAGCUAACGGCUUACCAAGGCGACGAUCAGUACCCGACCUGAGAGGGUGACCGGCCACAUUGGGACUGAGACACGGCCCAAACUCCUACGGGAGGCAGCAGUGGGGAAUAUUGCACAAUGGGGGAAACCCUGAUGCACCGACGCCGCGUGAGUGAAAAAGUAUCUCGGUAUGUAAAGCUCUAUCAGCAGGGAAGAAAAUGACGGUACCUGACUAAGACGCCCCGGCUAACUACGUGCCAGCAGCCGCGGUAAUACGUAGGGGGCAAGCGUUAUCCGGAUUUACUGGGUGUAAAGGGAGCGUAGACGGCGGAGCAAGUCUGAAGUGAAAGCCCGGGGCUCAACCCCGGGACUGCUUUGGAAAACUUGUUCUGCUAGAGUGCUGGAGAGGUAAGUGGAAUUCCUAGUGUAGCGGUGAAAUGCGUAGAUUUUAGGAGGAACACCAGUGGCGAAGGCGGCUUACUGGACAGUAACUGACGUUGAGGCUG